rnacentral:rRNA from 1 species
UUUAAAGUCUAAUCUGCCCUAUGAGGAUUUAAAUGGCCGCGGUACUUUGACCGUGCAAAGGUAGCAUAAUAAUUAGUUUUUUAAUUGAAAGCUGGAAUGAACGAUUGGACGAGAAAAUAACUGUCUCAAUUUAAUUUUAUUAGAAUUUUAUUUUUAAGUAAAAAAGCUUAAAUUUUGUUAAAAGACGAGAAGACCCUAUAGAGUUUUAUAGUUAAUUAAUUGUUAAUUUUUUAGUAUUAUUUUAUUGGUAAUUAAUUAGUUAUUUUAUUGGGGCGAUAGAGAAAUAUAAUUAACUUUUUUUUUAUUUAAACAUUAAUUUAUGAUUUUAUGAUCCAUAAUUUAUGAUUAUAAGAUUAAGUUACCUUAGGGAUAACAGCGUAAUUUUUUUUUARAGUUCUAAUCGAAAAAAAAGGUUGCGACCUCGAUGUUGGAUUAAAAUUAAUGCUUGGUGCAGGAGCUAAGUAAUUAGGUCUGUUCGACCUUUAAAAUUUUACAUGAUCUGAGUUUAAACCGGCGUGAGCCAGGUUGGUUUCUAUCUUUAAUUAAUUAAAAUAUUUUAGUACGAAAGGACCAAGUAUUUAUAAAAUUUUAUUUUAUAUUUGAAUAAUAUUG